GAUUUGUGGAGUGCUGUCCACAGGAGGGACUUACUGAGAAGCUUUGGUCUGGACUUGAAAAUUUUGUCUUUGAUUGGUUAAUCAAUGCUGAUAGGCUUGUUAGCCAGGUUGAAUACCCAUCCUUGGUUGAUCUUCGGGGGCUUCUUUUGGAUUUGGUUGCUCAACUCUUAGGUGCCUUAUCUCGCA